UACAGAGGUCUCAAGCGUUGUUCGGAUUCAUUGGGCGUAAAGGGUGCGUAGGUGGCGCUGUAAGUCGGUGUGAAAUUUCGGAGCUUAACUCCGAAACUGCAUUCGAUACUGCGGUGCUUGAGGACUGGAGAGGAGACUGGAAUUCAUGGUGUAGCAGUGAAAUGCGUAGAGAUCAUGAGGAAGACCAGUGGCGAAGGCGGGUCUCUGGACAGUUCCUGACACUGAGACACGAAGGCCAGGGGAGCAAACGGG
rnacentral:rRNA from 1 species